UUAUUUUUCUGUGCUUGGUAACAUUAAAAGUUGACAAGAAAUAAACCUGCUUGUCUCAUCAUCAGAGACUGAUGUGUAAGACAGACUCACACUGACAAUGGAAGAACCACAGGCACAAAAGUCUUCUUGGCGCAGAAAGGGGAUGAAACCUUCCUACCAGACCUCCUACCACCUGAGAUCUCAUGACAGACAUGACAUGAUGACUGCUGAAGCAGCUGAUACACAAAAUGCACAGGUUUUGCAAACCAGGGAGAACGCCACACUCAGCUCACAGAGAAUCAUCUACUACACUCUCCUCUUUGUGAAAGUGGUACUGUGGAUCAUCUUUGCCUGGAUCUUGUCUCACCUCCACCUGGGCGCUCCAUGUUUUCUCUUGUCACUGACCCUCUGCUUGUAUACAGGGCCAAUGCAGAAAGCUGUGAACUGGGCAAAGAGGCGUCUGCAGGGCCCGAUUAUAUAAACUGUCACACUGGGACGAAUGGGCAGAAAAGUAAAAUAAUUAAGAAGUUUCUCUGCUUUUCAUAAA